AAAAUUUCUCGGGUUGUCUCUCUACAUAUUUCCACGUUAGUUGUGAUAUUUUAUUUAUUGCUCUGCAAUCGACAGUUUGACCUCAUGCUAGGGCAGCCUCAGCCAGUUGCCUCUUCUAUCAAAGGUUGAGAUGCAUCACAUGAUGUUUUCCUUUUACAUUUAUGGGUAUUACAGAACCCUUUCUUUUUCCACAAGGGGUAGUAGCUGUGCCAUUCGAUUCGGAGGACAAAGAGUUGAUCACAAAGGGGUAGCAUUCAGGACAUAUACAUAAAAGAGUAUAGAACCAAAUUACAUGAUGUAAUUGACCACUAUUUCUAUUAACUUCUCCUGUAGCCAAUGUUCACAAGUUCAUGUAUUAAGUACAUCUUAUUGUGUCACUUGUGUUUACUCCUUUUUUAAUGCAAGUUUACUGCUACUCUCUACAAGUUCAUGUAUUAAGUACAUUUUAUUAUGUCACUUGUGUUUACUCCUUUUUUAAUGCAAGUUUACUGCUACUCUCUACAAGUUCAUGUAUUAAGUACAUUUUAUUGUGUCACUUGUGUUUACUCCUUUUUUAAUGCAAGUUUACUGCUA